GGCCAUAAUAUGUUGAAACUUCGGUUUCCGUACGAUCACCGAAGUUAAGCAAUGUCGAGCCUUAUCAGUACCUAGAUGGGUGACCGCUUUGGAAUACCAGGCGCUGUCG